GGAUGUGAGGGCGAUCUGGCUGCGACAUCUGUCACCCCAUUGAUCGCCAGGGUUGAUUCGGCUGAUCUGGCUGGCUAGGCGGGUGUCCCCUUCCUCCCUCACCGCUCCAUGUGCGUCCCUCCCGAAGCUGCGCGCUCGGUCGAAGAGGACGACCUUCCCCGAUAGAGACGUACCGUUCAUCGGUCAAGGGUAUACGGUAGCUGCGCUCCCUGCUAGAACUUCCCUCCUCUGACGAAGUCGUGUGCUCUGGUCAUGGGCUAUGCUCUCUGCACUCUCCCUGGGGCUAAAAUAAACAUUACCGAGGAGAAAAUGUGCACGAUUUACAAAUGUAUAACACUUCACCACAUGUAGGU
rfam:Pygoscelis adeliae contig56328, whole genome shotgun sequence.